rnacentral:miRNA from 1 species
GAGAGGAGGGAAAGGGAGAUUGGAGCUACUGGGAAUUGUAGGAAUGGGCUGUUUGGGAUGAAAGAAAAUCACUAAGAAAAUUUUCUUAUUGAUAUUUUCUUCCCAAGCCCGCCCAUUCCAAUGAUUUCCAGCGGCUCCUCCCUUUCCCUUCCAUCU